rnacentral:piRNA from 1 species
AUAGAUUUGGUUUAGUAAAGACAUAA